AGCUGCGGAACGUUUUGCCUGCAGGCUCCAUCGAAGGGCAUCUCGGAUGGCUAAUAAUUUCAGACAUACACCCGGCUUGGUCACCUGUGACAAAGACUUCUAGCCAUGGACGACUCCACCUUUUUAUUACAGAGUCUCAACAUCUGUUAUUGUCAACUGGCUAGCAAAUUCAACAUUGAAGACACUUUAUGGCUUUGAGGUUCCAUAAAAGAUAAACUUUAUUGAAUACGCAUCUCAGUACUGAAGAAGCAAAAUCAAAUCUAAGUUUCCUGCGCAAAAAUCUGAUGGAGAGCGAGUAUGCACUUCCCGAGCCAUUCGGCAAAUCUCACACCAGCCACAGAGGCACAUCGACAGCGCAUCCCUCAAAACGGUGCCCUGCAAUGCUCAAGCCAAGGAGAUUGUGUCAGAUUUACUCGUUUGGGCAUUAUGCCCUCACAUACCAGAAGCUGCAUGACUCAGCCUGAUGCUCCCUGUUCAGUUUCGGUAGGAGAUGAAACAGGAAAUCCCCUCUCAGCCCCCUAUGAAUUUCGGACAGAUGAUGAAAAAUAUCAGGGUCCCGCUCUGACUCUGCUCUCACUGCUCUGCUAUUAGAGCUCCGGGAGCCAGCAUAGAAACCACAGCAGAGAGGCUGGAAAGGAGACAGCUCACUUGAUCAUGGAGAUCUUCGCAAAGUGGGUAUCCAUAGGCCCAGUGCCUGUUAGGUCCUGGGGAGGGGGGAGGGGAAAUAGGCAGGGGAAAUGUUGCAGUGUCUCUGUGGUCAGUUGUAAGGAUGAAUGACUGCAGUGGUGCUGCAACAUUCAUAACUUUAGGACUGUGUCAUAAGUUCUUAUGGGAGUGAUGUAACUUUGAACCAUCACUAAGUGAACUGUCAUAAUUCAAUGAUUACCUGUGAAGGAUGACUGAGAAAAAAAUGGAAGGAGGCAAUCCAACAUUGAACAGACAGUCAGGCAAGGAUGUGGGAGAUUCCCUUGACUGUUUGAUGCAUUUAUGGCUAAAUGUAUAAGGAAUAAUGGUGAUAUCAGAGAAAUGCAGUGUGGAAGUGUGAAUCUGCACGAACAUUUGCAUGCAGAUGAUACUGUAUUUGUGGCUGAGAACUGAAAAAUUUGCAAGAAACUUUAGACAGUAUGAUCUAAUAAUUAAGGUACCAAAACCUUAUAUUUGACAAAGUAAACUGGGUGUGAACAACUUUAAGUGGCAAAAAAGGGAACAAUUUGUGCCCCUAAAGGUGUAAGAAGCAUAACAUUUAAGAAGUACCAGUGGAAAGGUAAUGGAUACAUGUGACUUUUAAAGGAAUGUUUGUUGAAAAAAAUAAAAAAGGUGGCUGUUUGCAAGUAUUUUUCUAUCCAUUUUGUUACUAUAUUAAGAAAUGAGAGCUAGGCAUGCUAAGAGAAACAUAAAAAGUUGAAUGAGAGCAAAAAGAUGAUAAAUGAGGGCUAAAUAUAGAAGUGACUGACAGAAAAUAUAUAUUUUGGGGCAGCUUGGUCAUACAUGGUAGAUAAAAUGAAUGAAAACUGAAUUGCAAAAUAAAUUCAUGAAGGAGGAGUGAAUGGAUUGUGAGGAAAGGGAAGACUGAGCAAGGUAUGUUCGGAUGCUGUUUUGAAAUACUCAAAAAAGAUGUCCAUGGAGAUUCUCAGUCAUCCACGUCAUGGUUGUCCCAAAGCUGCUUUUUUCAAAAGGCAAUUAGACUUUGUUUUAUUCCUUGAAGACGUUUCGCUUCUCAUCCAAGACACUUCAAUCAGAACUGAAGAAAUGAAAUGUCUUCAAGGAAAAAUGAAGGUCCAAUUCCCUUUUUAAAAAGCACCUUUGGGUCCUCAAAAAAGAAAAGUCCAAAAUUUUAAUGAUGAAAGAACAACGUACAAAAUGAUAGAUGGACAUGAUGGAAAAAAAGGACAGUUUGCAAGAGGCCAAAACAGAAAGGAACAGCAGCAACAAUUUAUCUGCUUCUGGGUAAAUGGUAAAAUUAUUGUUGAAUAUAAUUCAAGUUUGCUUGAGAAGAGGAGGAGGAAGAAGCAUUCAUCUUGGAUGUCAUGCCAAAUUCCUGCUAGGGUGGGAUACUGUCAGAUCCCCAAACCCCUCGCCUCUUUUCUUUUGCCUUCUCUUCUUUUGGGGCCUGCCAUUCUGUUGGGGGAGGGGGUGCAUGGGGGGAAUAUGUUGGUAACUUUCCUUUUCCUCUUUCUUGGUCUGGCCUCCUUCUCCUGAGUAUGGAAUGCUUCUCCUUAUAUAGGAGAAAAUUGCAAGGAAAGAAAGCUGGAGAAGACCUUGAGUUGCGUGCAAAUCAGCUGCUCACCAGGCCAUCUGUGGAUUGGCUGGAGUUCAAACGGACAUUAUGACUUUGGCGGGAGGGGGGCAUAUUGCUUGCUUUAAUUAUAUCAUUCAUGCAGGCUUUUCUUCAGAUCUCGCAUUACAUUCCCUGCUAUGACUAGUCCCUAAUAAAAGUUCCUUUUGAGACAA